UAUGAUUCUGGAUCCACAUUCAAAAUUCAAUCAUUCUCUCAAAUCGAGAGCAUCUCCACAUCCAAUCUUCAAACCGUAUACUUUCAAAUCCAGAGGACCUCCUCGAUGUGACCUUCGAUUGGUUCAAUUCGAUGCUACCAGACGUCACUUUCCCCUUUCUUAUUCCAAGAACGGGAGAGAAAAGAAGAGAGAAAGAAUGGGGAGCCUAUACUUAUCAGUAAUCGAUUCUGUGUUAACGAAUUGAUGAUUUUUGUGUUGUUUUUGCAGUAUAAAGGAGUGUAGAGAAGUAGAAGAACCAAGAGGUUGUGAAAUCGCGUGGCUGGUGCCCUAAGAUCGAGCUUGCCGUCGAGGUUACGACAUCAUUUAUCCGGUGAAGGUCACAUCUUUUGUGAAAUCGCAUGUUGUGUGUUUGAGUGUCACUUGAUCUGGGUUUGUUUAUAUUUUUUAGUUUUUAAUCGCUUUUGUUGGAAUGUUAACGGUUUGAUCUUGGUACAUUGUUUGUUUUUUAAAUGUAAAAUGGUGUAUGCUUUUUCUUUCAAAUGUUGUUGUAAUAUUCUUUUUCUUGAGUGAAGUUUUGGAAGAAGGUGAUUCAGUGUCCGUUGCAAGACAUAGCAAUCCCUUUUUCAGGUUUUCACUGGGAAUACAACAAGGGAAAUUUUCAUCAUUGGAGGCCAUUAUUUCUGCAUUUUGAUACCUACUUCAAGACUUACUUAUCUAGCAGGAAGGAUCUUCUGUUCGAGGAUACUCUAGAAGAUGAUACUCUUUUUCCUAAACAAUGGCUUAGAGGUGGUGAUUUUGCCAUUUUGGCCCGUUGACUUACGGAUGGUUCAAAUCAACAAAAGCUGAAUAUAUAACAGAGUAAAGUUUAUUAUUAAAGCAUAACAUCUUUUGAAUUGUUUUAUUCAUAAAUCUGGAUUUGUUAAUCUAAUAAUAUUGUUUUGCAAUCAUAAUUAUCAUAUUAAUGAUUUUUGUUCUUUAUAAAGAAUAAAAUUGUUUGCGGGUCAGCUCAGUCAACAUGCGUCGGAACAUCCGCUCGCGGCUUAUGGGCAACAACCUUGGUGGUUCAAGCAUUCAACAACUGCAUCAACUAGAGAAACAACUGACUGAUGACUUAGUUUUAAACAAAGAAAAGAAGGUUAUUGACUUUCAGGUGAUUAAAGAUGUCAAACAACGGUGAAGAGUUCUACAACACAUUUUACAACGCGUUCACUUCCGAAUCGACAGAUAGAAGAUCUGAGUUGAAAGAAUAUUCAAGAGAGAUUUCGGAGAAUUUGAAGUUUGAGAACAUGUACGGAAGCCAACAGAAGCCACCAAAGCUAAUGAAAGUUGAAGACUAUAACUGGUGGAAAAACAGAUUUGAGGGUUGGGUAAAAGCUUUCGCUCCUGAAAGCUGGUUAAAAUUGACAAAUGGAUACAUUGAACCAGUGAAAGAGGGAGGAUAGUUAAUUGAUCCAAAAGAUUUCACAGACAUAGACAUAAAAAAUGUUGUGGCUGAAUAUAAAAUGAUCACAUUAAUCAAACAGUCCGUGAGAGAGGAUAUUAUUUCGUUACUUGAACAGGAGAAAACUUCAAAGAGUUUGUGGGAAGCGUUAGGGAAAAAGUGUGUAGGAAGUAAUGAAAUUGUCAAAAACAAAAAGAAAUUGUUGCGUAAAGAGUUUGAUUUAUUCUGUUGUAUGAAAAAUGAAUCUGUUUGU